UGGGCUAGGUUUAGUGGGUUGGGUCUAGUGUUUGGGCCUACUUAUUUGCUUGGGUCUGGGCAUUAUUGGGCCUGUACAGGCUCUUUUAUAAGCAGAUCCCCAGAAGAAAAUAAAAAUCGACCCCUAAAAACAAUCCGUUCCUCCUCUCUUUUUUUUUAUUUCGCUGCUAUCGUUUGCUAUUUGUUUGUGUUUGUCCUUUGCUGCUAUUUU
rnacentral:lncRNA from 1 species